CCUACGGUGAGCAGCAGUCGAGAAUCAUUCACAAUGGGGGAAACCCUGAUGGUGCGACGCCGCGUGGGGGAAUGAAGGUCUUCGGAUUGUAAACCCCUGUCAUGUGGGAGCAAAUUAAAAAGAUAGUACCACAAGAGGAAGAGACGGCUAACUCUGUGCCAGCAGCCGCGGUAAUACAGAGGUCUCAAGCGUUGUUCGGAAUCACUGGGCGUAAAGCGUGCGUAGGCUGUUUCGUAAGUCGUGUGUGAAAGGCGCGGGCUCAACCCGCGGACGGCACAUGAUAAUGCGAGACUAGAGUAAUGGAGGGGGAACCGGAAUUCUCGGUGUAGCAGUGAAAUGCGUAGAUAUCGAGAGGAACACUCGUGGCGAAGGCGGGUUCCUGGACAUUAACUGACGCUGAGGCACGAAGGCCAGGGGAGCGAAAGGGAUUAGAUACCCUGGUAGUC
rnacentral:rRNA from 1 species